GAUGCUUUUAUCCAAAGAAGCUUACAUAUGAGGAAUACAACAAGCAAGAACAGGGAGGGAUCAAUGAAUAGUGAAUGCAUAUAAACAGUUGCUGAAUGGAGAAUGUUGCUCCUGAAUCCAUGCUAGAUGAACAAAUGUCUCACUGGGUGUUAUGAGUGCAAGAGAAGGGCGAACAAGGGAAUGGCUUUUGUGUGAUGAGGACAAAAAAAAAAAAAAAAAGAUCAAUACCAGUUUCUUCCAAAUUGCACUGGAAAGCUUAUGAGAGUCCCGACUGCAUUCAUUCAACACUUUUCUCUUCUUGACUUCACCUAUUAUAAUCAUCACAUUUCUAGGAACACUGAAAGAGGUCGCGAACCCUCCCUGUGAUUUCUGACAUCUACUCCUCCACUUUUCCAGUAUUUUACACACGCUUUAUCUGAAAUGCAAUGCAUCUCCAUGGUGUUAUUAUUUCUUACAAGGCCAAUUUCACAAGUACAGAGAUAUAAGUAAUUCCAUCUGUUGAAGCUGUUUUGGUUAUCUUUAAAAUUGUCAUUCCAAUUGUCAAGCUCAGUCUUUUUUAAUAUGAUUUAUUUUCAUCUAGAUUCUCAAUGUUACUUGGGUUCCCCAUUCAAUGUGUGGAAUGUAUUGCAUCAACUGUUUUUUUUUUUAUUUAUUUUUUUAGCAUUAACAGUUUAACACUCAAUGUUAGGGUUUUGUUCAAUAUGUAAGAAUAUAUGGUCAGUAGUUACAGUCUGAAGAGGUGUACUCAUGAUGCAAUUUCAUGUUGGGUUCAUAUGGCUUUAAAAAAAAAAAAAAAAAAAAAAAUUAAGGGAUACAGUUUACCCCCAAAUGCUGUUGAAUGCUGUUAAUUCAUUCACCCUCAGGCCAUCCCAGAUCUAUGUGACUUUUUUUCUUCUGUAGAACACUUAAGAAGUUUUUAGCGGAAACCAUGGAGGAAUUAAAACCUUUAACAUAA